AAGGCCUUAAGUUAAAAAUAAACUAAUAACCUUCAAAGCUAUAAAUAAAGGGCCCCCUUUAGGCCUUG
rnacentral:tRNA from 1 species